rnacentral:rRNA from 1 species
GACGAACGCUGGCGGCGUGCCUAAUACAUGCAAGUUGAGCGCUGAAGGUUGGUACUUGUACCGACUGGAUGAGCAGCGAACGGGUGAGUAACGCGUGGGGAAUCUGCCUUUGAGCGGGGGACAACAUUUGGAAACGAAUGCUAAUACCGCAUAAAAACUUUAAACACAAGUUUUAAGUUUGAAAGAUGCAAUUGCAUCACUCAAAGAUGAUCCCGCGUUGUAUUAGCUAGUUGGUGAGGUAAAGGCUCACCAAGGCGAUGAUACAUAGCCGACCUGAGAGGGUGAUCGGCCACAUUGGGACUGAGACACGGCCCAAACUCCUACGGGAGGCAGCAGUAGGGAAUCUUCGGCAAUGGACGAAAGUCUGACCGAGCAACGCCGCGUGAGUGAAGAAGGUUUUCGGAUCGUAAAACUCUGUUGGUAGAGAAGAACGUUGGUGAGAGUGGAAAGCUCAUCAAGUGACGGUAACUAACCAGAAAGGGACGGCUAACUACGUG